CCUCCCACCUCAGCCCCCCAAAGCGCUGGGAUUACUACAGAGAAGAUUUGUGAAGCUGUGUGACCUGCCUCCUUGCAACUGCCAGAGCUGCUCAAAGCUCCAAGAUUCCCUGCUGGGCAGCCACAUACCUGCCAAAGCAUUGUGUUCAAGGCUCUCAAGAAACCAGCCAUGAAAAGCUUCCCACUUCAGGAAAAAUCCCUUGCUUGACUUAUUCAGAGAUCAUGGAGGCCAAUACAACUGCAGACCAGAGAAAAAAAAUCUGGCUUUGUUGCUGUUAAAACUCAAUUCAAAGACUCAGGCUCCUUGAGAUCCCUGCAGGGUGAUUUUACUAUUUUCCCAGAGGUAACCCAAUUGGAGUCUAUCUGACUGUGCCAGUCCAGAUAUUCAUAUUUUGUCUUUUUCCUCUGUCUUAUCACUGGGGGAAACAGCUUGGAAUUUAGGUUCAUGAAUACAACCUCCUUACUGUUUUGCUUUU
rnacentral:lncRNA from 1 species